CACGUAGGGCGCAAGCGUUGUCCGGAAUUACUGGGCGUAAAGGGCUCGUAGGCGGCCAACUAAGUCAGACGUGAAAUCCCUCGGCUUAACCGGGGAACUGCGUCUGAUACUGGAUGGCUUGAGGUUGGGAGAGGGAUGCGGAAUUCUAGGUGUAGCGGUGAAAUGCGUAGAUAUCUGGAGGAACACCGGUGGCGAAGGCGGCAUCCUGGACCAAUUCUGACGCUGAGGAGCGAAAGCCAGGGGAGCAAACGGG
rnacentral:rRNA from 1 species